rnacentral:rRNA from 1 species
UAGCGUUGUUCGGAAUUACUGGGCGUAAAGCGAACGUAGGCGGUGUUCCAUGUCAGAGGUGAAAGCCUGGGGCUCAACUCCAGAAUUGCCUUUGAAACGGGAACGCUUGAGUCCGAGAGAGGAUGGCGGAAUUCCUAGUGUAGAGGUGAAAUUCGUAGAUAUUAGGAAGAACACCAGUGGCGAAGGCGGCCAUCUGGCGCGGUACUGACGCUCAGGUUCGAAAGCGUGGGGAGCAAACAGG